AUGGUGAAAGAGUGUAACCCCAAUUCACUUCCUCUGCCUGCUGAGGAUGUCCUGAGCUGUUUUUUUUUGUAUGUGUGUGUGUGUUCGCUCCCAGUUUCACUGAACGACAGCAGCAGUCAUGUGCACCACCAUCAUGGUCCUGAGCACCAUUGCUCUCCUGCUGCGACAGAUGUUCAUCAACCGUGUCAAGCCACAGCCAGAUGUGAAUGGGACAAAGGAAAAGCCGCAUGAGAACGAUGCAACACCUUCAGAAAAAUAAUGAUAAGAGACAUCAUUCAUCCAGCUGAGACUGUGAGCACAGAAAGAAACUCAGUACAGCCAGGGAGGAUCUUCUCAGGGACACUUUCACAAAGUAAACGUUCAUCCUGAAAUAUUUAAGAGCAUUGUCAGAUUGAAUACAAGGCAACAAGCAUGCAGCGCACACAAAAGAGAAAAUUCAAAGAGAGGAAAAGGGUUUUGUGCGACUCCACUGGACGACUGCAUUUCCAGCACAGCGAGGAUGGUUUGAACUGGACACAGGAGGAAUUAUAACAUCUGUGGAAAUGUGCUUUCAGGACUGGAUGCCAUGAACUUGCCUGCUCCAUUUUAGAGCUGUAAGUGCUGUCCACGGCUGAACAUGGAUGCAGCGCCCUGUAAAUCAUUCAUACACAACAACCGGCCAUCAGCUGCUUGCAGGACUGGACCAACAGAGACCUUCAUCAUCACCAACACCAUCUUCAUCCAGAUAUGUUAUUAACUGACACGAGAGAAGGAAAAAGUAUGUCACUGAAAGAGUUUUAAAUGAGUUACAGAGGCUCGUCUGAUGAGCUCCUCGCUGGAGGAGGCAGUUAAGUGCAUGAAACAUUAAUGCCUUCACAUGUCAGCUCUUUCUGUGGAUGUGAGUGUGUGUUUACCUCGCUUCAGUGAUCACACACACACACACGUACACACACACCUGCUCCACCUCAGUCCGUUCUUCAGCUCAGUGCACUAGUUUCCUGGAAUGGUCAAUCCAAAUUAAUUGUUUCUUAUAGUCCAUUUAAUUAAUUUCAUUAAUGAGACCUCUUUAAUAUCUCAAUAGUUUCUCUUAGCAAUGACAUUAAAUGAAGAUCAAUCAUCAUUUAAUCAAACUUAAUUUCUCCUUAUUUUCUCCUUAUUUUUCUCCUGGGGCCCUCAGUAAUCCACUAAAGGCCAUCUUCACCACAUAAAAAAAAUGCUUUGGUAAAUAAUAAUUAUAACAAGUCAUAAUUAUGAGAUAAAAUGUAAACAUUAUGAAAUAUGAAACCAUAAUUAUAUCAGUUGUGAGCUAAAAACUGAUGGUUAAAAUUAAGAGAUAUUAAGCCAUAGUAAUGAGACCAGAAGUCAUAAUUAUCACAGCCAAAAUUAUGAGAUAAAACUUGAAAUGACAGUCAAAAAUAUGAGAUAUGUCACAAUUAUGAGACAUAAAGUCAAAAUUGUAAUUCAAAAUUGUGAUAAAAACUUCAAACUAUGACAAUCAAAAUUAUGAGAUAAAAUUAUGAGUCACAAUUAAUAGAUAACAACUGAAACUAUUAGAUAAGUCACAAUUAUGAUACAAAAGUCAUAAUUAUGAGACAGAAAACCAAAAUGAUGUAAUUCAAAAUUGAGAUAAAAACUAUAAACUAUGACUAUCAAAAUUAUGAGAUAAAAACCUGAAAUUAUGAGUCACAAUUAAUAGAUAACUAAAACUAAGGUAAGUCACAAUUAUGAGACAAAAAUUCAUAAUUAUGAGAUUUUAAAUUACGAGAUGUAACAAUUAUGAGGUAAAAAAUCUAAAUAAAAUACUAAGCCAUAAUUAGGAGAAAAAAGUC
ensembl:lncRNA